UACAGAGGUCUCAAGCGUUGUUCGGAUUCAUUGGGCGUAAAGGGUGUGUAGGUGGCGCGCUAAGUCGGGUGUGAAAUUUCGGAGCUUAACUCCGAAACUGCAUUCGAUACUGGCGUGCUUGAGGACUUGAGAGGAGACUGGAAUUCAUGGUGUAGCAGUGAAAUGCGUAGAGAUCAUGAGGAAGACCAGUGGCGAAGGCGGGUCUCUGGACAGUUCCUGACACUGAGACACGAAGGCCAGGGGAGCAAACGGG
rnacentral:rRNA from 1 species